rnacentral:lncRNA from 1 species
GAGCUAUGAGUUAACUCCUUUAAAGGUGUCUUUCUGCAUAAACCCUCUGCAUCACAUACAAUAAUAAUACGAUAAAAUAUAAUUGUAUAUUUAUAAAUACAUGUAUUUGUUUAUAUAUAUAUAUAUAUAUAUAUAUAAGACCUUUCUAGAGUCUUAUUGUCUCUUAUUGUAUAUUGUAGUAAGUACACCGCAGUGAUCUCUAUGGAUCAGAGGCAGCACUAUAAGGAUGACUUCAAUGCAGAAUAUGAUGAGUAUCGUAUCCUUCAUGCCCGCGUUGAGAGUGUUACUCGUCGGUUUACAAAAUUGGACGCCCAGUGUAAACGCCUGGCACCAGGAACUAAAGAGUACCAGGAAGUACAUGAACAGGUGCUGCAAGAAUAUAAAAAAGUUAAACAACACAGCCCAAACUAUUACGAAGAAAAACAGCGCUGUGAGUACCUGCACAACAAACUGGCCCACAUCAAACGCCUCAUCGCUGACUUUGACCAACGGAGGGCACAGUCCUGGCUGUAGGGCUCGGGACCAAGCAACCCCUUUUGGCCAAUCCGAGCGCUCCUUAACCGGAGGACCAUCUUGA